GAUGAACGCUGGCGGCGUGCCUAAUACAUGCAAGUCGAGCGAACAGACGAGGAGCUUGCUCCUCUGACGUUAGCGGCGGACGGGUGAAUAACACGUGGAUAACCUACCUAUAAGACUGGGAUAACUUCGGGAAACCGGAGCUAAUACCGGAUAACAUGUUGAACCGCAUGGUUCAACAGUGAAAGACGGUCUUGCUGUCACUUAUAGAUGGAUCCGCGCCGCAUUAGCUAGUUGGUAAGGUAACGGCUUACCAAGGCAACGAUGCGUAGCCGACCUGAGAGGGUGAUCGGCCACACUGGAACUGAGACACGGUCCAGACUCCUACGGGAGGCAGCAGUAGGGAAUCUUCCGCAAUGGGCGAAAGCCUGACGGAGCAACGCCGCGUGAGUGAAGAAGGUCUUCGGAUCGUAAAACUCUGUUAUUAGGGAAGAACAAAUGUGUAAGUAACUAUGCACGUCUUGACGGUACCUAAUCAGAAAGCCACGGCUAACUACGUG
rnacentral:rRNA from 1 species